GUAGGUGGCAAGCGUUGUCCGGAAUUAUUGGGCGUAAAGCGCGCGCAGGUGGUUCUUUAAGUCUGAUGUGAAAGCCCCCGGCUCAACCGGGGAGGGUCAUUGGAAACUGGGGAACUUGAGUGCAGGAGAGGAAAGUGGAAUUCCACGUGUAGCGGUGAAAUGCGUAGAUAUGUGGAGGAACACCAGUGGCGAAGGCGACUUUCUGGCCUGUAACUGACACUGAGGCGCGAAAGCGUGGGGAGCAAACAGGGAUUAGAUACCCUGGUAGUCCACGCCGUAAACGAUGAGUGCUAAGUGUUGGGGGGGGUUUCCGCCCCCUCAGUGCUGCAGCUAACGCAUUAAGCAUCCGCCUGGGAGUACGGUCGCAAGACUG
rnacentral:rRNA from 1 species